rnacentral:misc_RNA from 1 species
GAUGAAGAACGUAGCGAAAUGCGAUAAGUAGUGUGAAUUGCAGAAUUCAGUGAAUCAUCGAAUCUUUGAACGCACAUUGCGCCCCUUGGUAUUCCAUGGGGCAUGCCUGUUCGAGCGUCAUUUCAACCAUCAAGCCCCAGGCUUGUGUUGGGGACCUGCGGCUGCCGCAGGCCCUGAAAACCAGUGGCGGGCUCGCUGUCACACCGGGCGUAGUAGAUUUUAUCUCGCUCAGGGCGUGCUGCGGGUUCCGGCCGUUAAAAAGCCUUUUUUACCCAAGGUUGACCUCGGAUCAGGUAGGAAGACCCGCUGAACUUAAGCAUAUCAAUAAGCGGAGGA